rnacentral:rRNA from 1 species
CAGUAGCCGCGGUAAUACGUAGGUGGCAAGCGUUGUCCGGAAUUAUUGGGCGUAAAGCGCGCGCAGGCGGUUUCUUAAGUCUGAUGUGAAAGCCCCCGGCUUAACCGGGGAGGGUCAUUGGAAACUGGGAGACUUAGAGUGCAGAAGAGGAGAGUGGAAUUCCAUGUGUAGCGGUGAAAUGCGUAGAUAUAUGGAGGAACACCCGUGGCGAAGGCGACUCUCUGGUCUGAAACUGACGCUGAGGCGCGAAAGCGUGGGGAGCAAACAGGAUUAGAUACCCGCGUAGUCCCUGUCUCUUAUU